rnacentral:misc_RNA from 1 species
CCAUCCAGGCUUACAGGCCAGGCUAUUCCUAGCAACGUUUGGCCGUCUUCUCUUCAGCGGCGGGUAAGGCGCAUUUUAAUAUUUGUCUGUCUUAUAUAACUAACUUAAGCCUCCUUUUCUAUAAUCACUAUUGUUACUAAUGAGGGUGGCGGUGGCGAUUGUGUGUGGUAGGCUGUACGGGAAGCUGAGGUAGCAUCGAAACCAUCCAGGGCAA